GGGCGCACGCGCGCUACACUGACAGAGCCAGCGAGUUUUUUUCCUUGCCGGAAGGCGUGGGUAAUCUUGUGAAACUCUGUCGUGUGGGGAUAGAACAUUGCAAUUAUUGUUCUUCAACGAGGAAUACCUAGUAAGCGUGAGUCAUCAGCUCGCGUUGAUUACGUCCC
rnacentral:rRNA from 1 species